rnacentral:lncRNA from 1 species
UCCUUGGCUUCCUGUGUGCAUGUCUGGGCGUCACUCCAAGUGGACGUGGUAGCUUUUGUCUGCCUCUGGACAACAAGGUG